rnacentral:rRNA from 1 species
UACAGAGGUGGCAAGCGUUGUUCGGAAUUACUGGGCGUAAAGGGCGCGCAGGCGGUCGUUCAAGUCGCGUGUGAAAGCCCCCGGCUCAACUGGGGAGGGUCACGCGAUACUGAUCGACUCGAAGGCAGGAGAGGGUAGUGGAAUUCCCGGUGUAGUGGUGAAAUGCGUAGAUAUCGGGAGGAACACCAGUGGCGAAGGCGACUACCUGGCCUGUUCUUGACGCUGAGGCGCGAAAGCGUGGGGAGCAAACAGG